GAUGAACGCUGGCGGCGUGCUUAACACAUGCAAGUCGAACGGUGAACGAGGGAGCUUGCUCCCUCCGGAUCAGUGGCGAACGGGUGAGUAACACGUGAGCAAUCUGCCCUGGACUCUGGGAUAAGCGUUGGAAACGACGUCUAAUACCGGAUACGAGGCGUGGGGGCAUCCCCAACGCCUGGAAAGAACUUCGGUCCAGGAUGAGCUCGCGGCCUAUCAGGUAGUUGGUGAAGUAACGGCUCACCAAGCCUACGACGGGUAGCCGGCCUGAGAGGGUGACCGGCCACACUGGGACUGAGACACGGCCCAGACUCCUACGGGAGGCAGCAGUGGGGAAUACUGCACAAUGGGCGCAAGCCUGAUGCAGCAACGCCGCGUGAGGGACGACGGCCUUCGGGUUGUAAACCUCUUUCAGCAGGGAAGAAGCGAAAGUGACGGUACCUGCAGAAAAAGCACCGGCUAACUACGUGCCAGCAGCCGCCGUAACAC
rnacentral:rRNA from 1 species